rnacentral:rRNA from 1 species
CCUACGGGGCGCAGCAGUGAGGAAUAUUGGUCAAUGGACGAGAGUCUGAACCAGCCAAGUAGCGUGAAGGAUGACUGCCCUAUGGGUUGUAAACUUCUUUUAUAAAGGAAUAAAACGAGGCACGUGUGCCUUUUUGCAUGUACUUUAUGAAUAAGGAUCGGCUAACUCCGUGCCAGCAGCCGCGGUAAUACGGAGGAUCCGAGCGUUAUCCGGAUUUAUUGGGUUUAAAGGGAGCGUAGAUGGGUUGUUAAGUCAGUUGUGAAAGGUUGCGGCUCAACCGUAAAAUUGCAAUUGAUACUGGCAGUCUUGAGUACAGUUGAGGUAGGCGGAAUUCGUGGUGUAGCGGUGAAAUGCUUAGAUAUCACGAAGAACCCCGAUUGCGAAGGCAGCUUACUAAACUGUGACUGACAUUGAUGCUCGAAAGUGUGGGUAUCAAACAGGAUUAGAUACCCCUGUAGUC